rnacentral:rRNA from 1 species
AAUAUUCUAGUAUGAGAAAUUAACGAUUUAAGUCCUUCUUAAAUGAGGCCAUUUACCCAUAGAGGGUGCCAGGCCCGUAUAACGUUAAUGAUUACUAGAUGAUGUUUCCAAAGAGUCGUGUUGCUUGAUAGUGCAGCACUAAGUGGGUGGUAAACUCCAUCUAAAACUAAAUAUAACCAUGAGACCGAUAGUAAACAAGUACCGUGAGGGAAAGUUGAAAAGAACUCUGAAUAGAGAGUUAAACAGUACGUGAAACUGCUUAGAGGUUAAGCCCGAUGAACCUGAAUAUCCGUUAUGGAAAAUUCAUCAUUAAAAUUGUAAUAUUUAAAUAAUAUUAUGAGAAUAGUGUGCAUUUUUUCCAUAUAAGGACAUUGUAAUCUAUUAGCAUAUACCAAAUUUAUCAUAAAAUAUAACUUAUAGUUUAUUCCAAUUAAAUUGCUUGCAUUUUAACACAGAAUAAAUGUUAUUAAUUUGAUAAAGUGCUGAUAGAUUUAUAUGAUUACAGUGCGUUAAUUUUUCGGAAUUAUAUAAUGGCAUAAUUAUCAUUGAUUUUUGUGUUUAUUAUAUGCACUUGUAUGAUUAACAAUGCGAAAGAUUCAGGAUACCUUCGGGACCCGUCUUGAAACACGGACCAAGGAGUCUAACAUAUGUGCAAGUUAUUGGGAUAUAAACCUAAUAGCGUAAUUAACUUGACUAAUAAUGGGAUUAGUUUUUUAGCUAUUUAUAGCUAAUUAACACAAUCCCGGGGCGUUCUAUAUAGUUAUGUAUAAUGUAUAUUUAUAUUAUUUAUGCCUCUAACUGGAACGUACCUUGAGCAUAUAUGCUGUGACCCGAAAGAUGGUGAACUAUACUUGAUCAGGUUGAAGUCAGGGGAAACCCUGAUGGAAGACCGAAACAGUUCUGACGUGCAAAUCGAUUGUCAGAAUUGAGUAUAGGGGCGAAAGACCAAUCGAACCAUCUAGUAGCUGGUUCCUUCCGAAGUUUCCCUCAGGAUAGCUGGUGCAUUUUAAUAUUAUAUAAAAUAAUCUUAUCUGGUAAAGCGAAUGAUUAGAGGCCUUAGGGUCGAAACGAUCUUAACCUAUUCUCAAACUUUAAAUGGGUAAGAACCUUAACUUUCUUGAUAUGAAGUUCAAGGUUAUGAUAUAAUGUGCCCAGUGGGCCACUUUUGGUAAGCAGAACUGGCGCUGUGGGAUGAACCAAACGUAAUGUUACGGUGCCCAAAUUAACAACUCAUGCAGAUACCAUGAAAGGCGUUGGUUGCUUAAAACAGCAGGACGGUGAUCAUGGAAGUCGAAAUCCGCUAAGGAGUGUGUAACAACUCACCUGCCGAAGCAACUAGCCCUUAAAAUGGAUGGCGCUUAAGUUGUAUACCUAUACAUUACCGCUAAAGUAGAUGAUUUAUAUUACUUGUGAUAUAAAUUUUGAAACUUUAGUGAGUAGGAAGGUACAAUGGUAUGCGUAGAAGUGUUUGGCGUAAGCCUGCAUGGAGCUGCCAUUGGUACAGAUCUUGGUGGUAGUAGCAAAUAAUCGAAUGAGACCUUGGAGGACUGAAGUGGAGAAGGGUUUCGUGUGAACAGUGGUUGAUCACGAGUUAGUCGGUCCUAAGUUCAAGGCGAAAGCCGAAAAUUUUCAAGUAAAACAAAAAUGCCUAACUAUAUAAACAAAGCGAAUUAUAAUACACUUGAAUAAUUUUGAACGAAAGGGAAUACGGUUCCAAUUCCGUAACCUGUUGAGUAUCCGUUUGUUAUUAAAUAUGGGCCUCGUGCUCAUCCUGGCAACAGGAACGACCAUAAAGAAGCCGUCGAGAGAUAUCGGAAGAGUUUUCUUUUCUGUUUUAUAGCCGUACUACCAUGGAAGUCUUUCGCAGAGAGAUAUGGUAGAUGGGCUAGAAGAGCAUGACAUAUACUGUUGUGUCGAUAUUUUCUCCUCGGACCUUGAAAAUUUAUGGUGGGGACACGCAAACUUCUCAACAGGCCGUACCAAUAUCCGCAGCUGGUCUCCAAGGUGAAGAGUCUCUAGUCGAUAGAAUAAUGUAGGUAAGGGAAGUCGGCAAAUUAGAUCCGUAACUUCGGGAUAAGGAUUGGCUCUGAAGAUUGAGAUAGUCGGGCUUGAUUGGGAAACAAUAACAUGGUUUAUGUGCUCGUUCUGGGUAAAUAGAGUUUCUAGCAUUUAUGUUAGUUACUUGUUCCCCGGAUAGUUUAGUUACGUAGCCAAUUGUGGAACUUUCUUGCUAAAAUUUUUAAGAAUACUAUUUGGGUUAAACCAAUUAGUUCUUAUUAAUUAUAACGAUUAUCAAUUAACAAUCAAUUCAGAACUGGCACGGACUUGGGGAAUCCGACUGUCUAAUUAAAACAAAGCAUUGUGAUGGCCCUAGCGGGUGUUGACACAAUGUGAUUUCUGCCCAGUGCUCUGAAUGUCAAAGUGAAGAAAUUCAAGUAAGCGCGGGUCAACGGCGGGAGUACUCAAGUCGACUCAAAACCUCCUCGUGGUGGUCCCCGGUAAUGCUAAACUCGUUUAGCAGCUAAUUUGAGCGGCAAAACUUUUCCGAUGGGCUGGUUCCCCAGAGGAAAUUUAUUCAUAUUGGAACUACAAGCACAAAUAACGAGCCUCGGAUACCUUUACACAAUCUGAUGACGACCCGACCCUCCGUGGAUAUCUUCCCGGAGGACCAAUAUGAACCAAACGCAGCGGCUACUCUAUCUAGGGUUCCCUGCACAGUAUGUGGCCGGUCCUUUAACAGCAAGAGAGGACUCGGUGUUCACAUGCGAUCUCGGCACCCAGACGAACUUGAUGAAGAACGUCGACGUGUCGAUAUAAAGGCAAGAUGGAGUGAUGAAGAGAAGUGGAUGAUGGCGAGAAAGGAGGUUGAGCUCACAGCAAAUGGAUGUAAACACAUAAACAAGCAACUAGCGGUGUAUUUUGCAAACCGCAGCGUCGAAGCCAUCAAAAAGCUAAGACAGAGGGGCGAUUAUAAGGAGAAAAUAGAGCAGAUAAGAGGGCAAUCAGCUCUCGCCCCGGAAGUUGCUAAUCUAACCAUAAGGCGCCGCCCUAGUAGAAGUGAGCAAGACCACCAAGUAACAACAUCGGAAACAACUCCAAUCACUCCCUUCGAACAGUCGAACAGGGAAAUUUUGCGGACACUACGCGGGUAUAGCCCCGUAGAAUGCCAUUCCAAAUGGAGAGCCCAAGAGUU